rnacentral:misc_RNA from 1 species
UGUUAGGAGUUCGAGGUUAAGUAUUUUUCGACAUUGUUCGUUGCUGGUCGUCGGCUUGACAAAGUGGUUCUGUAAUUUUGUCUUUUCUCGUUGCAAUUUUUGUAGAAAAUGGGUGCUUCUGAUAAUGAACAAGAGCCUGAGCAAUUUCGUAAAUUGUUCAUUGGUGGGCUUGAUUAUAAAACAACGGAAGAUUCUCUGAAAGGUCAUUUUGAACAAUGGGGUGAAAUUGUUGAUUGUGUCGUGAUGAGAGAUCCUAAUACCAAAAAAUCUAGAGGUUUUGGAUUUAUAACUUAUAAACAAGCAUAUAUGGUUGAUGAUGCACAAGCAGCUAGACCCCAUAAAGUUGACGGAAGAGAAGUGGAGCCAAAACGUGCUGUUCCAAGAGAGGAUUCUGGAAAACCAGAAGCUCAAGCAACUGUGAAAAAAGUUUUUAUUGGUGGUCUGAAGGAAGAUGUUGAAGAAGAUGAUUUGAGAGAGUAUUUUGAUCAGUUUGGAAAAAUUGUAAACUGCAGUAUUGUUACUGAAAAAGAAACAGGAAGAAAAAGAGGAUUUGCAUUUAUUGAAUUUGAUGAUUAUGAUCCAGUAGAUAAAAUAGUCUUGAAAAGACAUCACUUGUUAAAAGGGAAAAGAACAGAAGUGAAGAAGGCUUUAUCAAAACAAGAAAUGGAAAAUAUUAAAAGGAACAAAGAAAUGAAACAAGGACGAGGAUCAUCUGGAAACCGAGGAGGAGGAGGUGGUGGUGGAGGUGAUUGGGGAGGCCGUGGUGACUUCGGAAAUAGUGGAUUUGGAGGUGGAUAUGGAAGCUCUGGAUUUGGUGGUGGCUUUGGAAGCCAAGGUAAUAGUAAUUUUGGUGGUUUUCGAAAUCAAGGAGGAAAUAGCAGUAGUGGAUAUGGAAAUCAAUUCAGUUCAAGAUUUGGUCAAGGUGGUGGAGGAGGUGGUGGUGGAUGGGCUGAUGAUUUCGGCUCUGGUUAUGGAAAUAGUUUUGGGGGUGGUCCCAUGAGAGGAGGAAGCGGAAGUAGUUUUCAUCAGCGUGGACAAGGCCCAUAUGGUGGUGGCUAUGGAGGUGGUGGUGGUGGUGGUUAUGGUGGUUUUCGAAGAUAAGUGCCAUAAUUUGAAAGGGGAAUGGGGAUAGAUAGGUGUAAAUGAUGUGUGUUAAGGAAGAAAUUAUGGUGCCUCGUAUAACGGAUGCUGCGAACAACAGACUUUCUGUUUGGCUGUUACGUGACUCGAGCAAUGGACUGGCUGCGAACAAUGGACUUUUCGUUCGGCAGUAACAUGAGGCGAACAACUGACUUUCUGUGAACAGCGUAUCAGAAAACUUCAGCUCUAAUAAAGAAAAGCAGAAGCCUGCAUUUUGAAUGUUAAAAAAUUGCCAUAAUAAUGUAGAUCUCAUGAUUUUAAAAUGAGAGAGAGAUUUGAGAGGAAAAAAUA